UUGCACAUCUGCUUUAGUUAA
rnacentral:piRNA from 1 species